AUUGAACGCUGGCGGCAGGCUUAACACAUGCAAGUCGAGCGGUAACAGAUCUAGCUUGCUAGAUGCUGACGAGCGGGCGGACGGGUGAGUAACGCGUAGAAAACUGCCCGAUAGUGGGGGAUAGCCCAGAGAAAUUUGGAUUAAUACCGCAUACGCUCUACGGAGGAAAGCGGGCUUCGGCUCGCGCUAUCGGAUGUGUCUGCGUGAGAUUAGCUAGUUGGUGAGGUAAGGGCUCACCAAGGCGACGAUCUCUAGCUGGUCUGAGAGGAUGAUCAGCCACACUGGAACUGAGACACGGUCCAG
rnacentral:rRNA from 1 species